rnacentral:rRNA from 1 species
GACGAACGCUGGCGGCGUGCCUAACACAUGCAAGUUGAGCGACGAACCAGGGCUUGCCCUGGGGCAAAGCAGCGAACGGGUGAGUAACACGUGGGUAACCUACCCCGAUGACCGGGACAACCCGAGGAAACUCGAGCUAAUACCGGAUGUGAUCCUUGGACUCAAGUCCGUUGAUCAAAGGAAGCUUCGGCCUCCGCAUUGGGAGGGGCCCGCGGCCCAUUAGCUAGUUGGUGAGGUAAGAGCUCACCAAGGCAACGAUGGGUAGCUGGUCUGAGAGGACGAUCAGCCACACUGGGACUGAGACACGGCCCAGACUCCUACGGGAGGCAGCAGUGGGGAAUCUUGCGCAAUGCGCGAAAGCGUGACGCAGCAACGCCGCGUGGGGGAAGAAGGCCUUCGGGUUGUAAACCCCUUUCAGUUGGGACGAAGCUUCGACGGUUAAUAGCCGGCUGGAGUGACGGUACCUUCACAAGAAGCCCCGGCUAACUACGUGCCAGCCGCCGCAGUAAUAC